UUACGGGAGGCAGCAGUAGGGAAUAUUGGUCAAUGGGUGAAAGCCUGAACCAGCCAUGCCGCGUGCAGGAAGACGGCCUUCUGGGUUGUAAACUGCUUUUGCCAGGGGAUAAAAUACCCAUGCGUGGGGAAUUGAAGGUACCUGGUGAAUAAGCCACGGCUAACUACGUGCCAGCAGCCGCGGUAAUACGUAGGUGGCAAGCGUUGUCCGGAUUUAUUGGGUUUAAAGGGUGCGUAGGCGGUUCUAUAAGUCAGUGGUGAAAUACGGCAGCUCAACUGUCGAGGUGCCAUUGAUACUGUAGGACUAGAGUACUGUUGAGGUAGGCGGAAUGGACGGUGUAGCGGUGAAAUGCUUAGAUAUCGUCCAGAACACCGAUAGCGAAGGCAGCUUACUAAAGAGUAACUGACGCUGAGGCACGAAAGUGUGGGGAUCAAACAGGAUUAGAUACCCCGGU
rnacentral:rRNA from 1 species